AACGAACGCUGGCGGCAGGCUUAACACAUGCAAGUCGAACGCCCCGCAAGGGGAGUGGCAGACGGGUGAGUAACGCGUGGGAAUCUACCUAGUUCUACGGAACGACAGUUGGAAACGACUGCUAAUACCGUAUACGCCCUACGGGGGAAAGAUUUAUCGGAAUUAGAUGAGCCCGCGUAAGAUUAGCUAGUUGGUGAGGGAAUGGCUCACCAAGGCGACGAUCUUUAGCUGGUCUGAGUGGAUGAUCAGCCACACUGGGACUGAGACACGGCCCAGACUCCUACGGGAGGCAGCAGUGGGGAAUAUUGGACAAUGGGCGCAAGCCUGAGCCAGCCAUGCCGCGUGAGUGAUGAAGGCCAUAGGGUUGUAAAGCUCUUUCAGUAGGGAAGAUAAUGACGGUACCUACAGAAGAAGCCCCGGCUAACUUCGUGCCAGCAGCCGCGAUAACAC
rnacentral:rRNA from 1 species